CAAUAGCGUAUAUUAAAGUUGUUGCAGUUAAAAAGCUCGUAGUUGGAUUUCUGGUGGGAGCGAUCGGUCUGGCGCUUAGCGCGAGUACUUGCAUCGUCUCCGGCCAUCCUUGGGGAGAGUCUGUCUGGCAUUAGGUUGUCGGGCAGAGGAUCCUCAUCGUUUACUGUGAAAAAAUUAGAGUGUUCAAAGCAGGCUUAUGCCGUUGAAUAAAUUAGCAUGGAAUAAUAAGAUAGGACUUUGGUACUAUUUUGUUGGUUUGCGCACCAGAGUAAUGAUUAAUAGGGACAGUUGGGGGUAUUCGUAUUCCGUUGUCAGAGGUGAAAUUCUUGGAUCUACGGAAGACGAACUACUGCGAAAGCAUUUACCAAGGAUGUUUUCAUUAA
rnacentral:rRNA from 1 species